rnacentral:rRNA from 1 species
ACUGCUCAGUAACACGUCGAUAAUCUGCCCUAAGGUUGAGGAUACCCACGGAAAACUGUGGUUAAUACUUGAUAUUGAAUGGAUUCUGGAACGAAUCAUUCAUUAAACGUAAGGCCUUAGGAUGAGUCGGCGGCGGAUUAGGCAGUUGGCGGUGUAAUGGACCACCAAACCAAAGAUCCGUAGGGGCCCUGAGAGGGGUAGCCCCGAGAGGGACACUGAAAUACUGGUCCCAGCUCCACGGAGUGCAGCAGGCGCGAAACCUCCACAAUGCGCGAAAGCGUGAUGGGGGGAUUCCGAGUGCUUACAUUUUUUGUAAGCUUUUGCCAAGAGUUCACAUCUUGGAGAAUAAGUGGUGGGAAAGACCGGUGCCAGCAGCCGCGGUAACCCCGGCGCCACGAGUGGCAAUCUUAUAUUGGGCCUAAAGCAUUCGUAGCAGGUUUAAAAAAUCCUUUGUGAAAUUGUUGAACUCAAUACAACAGCAUGCAGGGGACACUUUUAGACUAGAGACUGGGAGGAGUUGGGGGUAUGCCUUGGGGAGCGGUUAAAUGUGAUAAUCCAAGGUAGACCACCUGUGGCGAAGGCGCCCAACUAGAACAGUUCUGACUGUGAGGGAUGAAAGCUAGGGGAGCGAUCCGGAUUAGAUACCCGAGUAGUCCUAGCUGUAAACACUGUGAGCUAGGUGUCGCAUAUUCUACGAGAAUAUGCGGUGUCGAAAAGAAGUUGAUAAGCUCACCGCCUGGGAAGUACGGUCGCAAGACUGAAACUUAAAGGAAUUGGCGGGGGAGCAC